AGGGUGGGGGUGGGGGGGUGGGGGGGGAAGAGAAGAAGAAGAGGAAGAAGGAAGAUGUAGUGUCUAUUCUUCAAGUAUAAGUUUUCGAUUUCUCCUUCUGCUCAAAAGGUAAUGACGUGGAAGUUUAGAGAUGCCCAUUAAUUUAGCCAGACUUUUAUCCAUGGAGCACAGCCGAAUUGAGCAGCUUUGGAGCCUGUCGAACCACCGAUUUGAGCCACUCGUCAUAGGCUGUAUGACAUCCUUUAUCAGAUUAUACAUUAUGUGUUUUUUUGGGAUACAUGUAGUUUAAAUAAGAAAAGUUCAUUAUGGGCUCAUUAAAUAUAUGGUAUUUUUAGUAUAUUUAAGGAUUAUUGGUUAUAGAGCAAGUAAAUGUUGAUUUGCCAACAUUUGAUUUGAAUAGUUUAUAUUUUGAAGAACUGUCUUACCCUAUUCAUAUUAUAAAUAUUGGUUUGAGGAAAAUUGGUUAUUGUUCA